rnacentral:rRNA from 1 species
AACGAACGCUGGCGGCAUGCCUAACACAUGCAAGUCGAACGAGACCUUCGGGUCUAGUGGCGCACGGGUGCGUAACGCGUGGGAACCUGCCCUUAGGUUCGGAAUAACUCCCCGAAAGGGGUGCUAAUACCGGAUAAUGUCUUCGGACCAAAGAUUUAUCGCCUUUGGAUGGGCCCGCGUUGGAUUAGCUAGUUGGUAGGGUAAAAGCCUACCAAGGCGAUGAUCCAUAGCUGGUCUGAGAGGAUGAUCAGCCACACUGGGACUGAGACACGGCCCAGACUCCUACGGGAGGCGGCAGUGGGGAAUAGUAGACAAUGGGCGAAAGCCUGAUCCAGCAAUGCCGCGUGAGUGAUGAAGGCCUUAGGGUUGUAAAGCUCUUUUACCCGGGAUGAUAAUGACAGUACCGGGAGAAUAAGCUCCGGCGAACUCCGUG